rnacentral:rRNA from 1 species
UACGUAGGGUGCAAGCGUUGUCCGGAAUUAUUGGGCGUAAAGAGCUCGUUGGCGGUCUGUCGCGUCUGCUGUGAAAACUCGGGGCUUAACCCCGGGCCUGCAGUGGGUACGGGCAGACUAGAGUGCGGUAGGGGAGACUGGAAUUCCUGGUGUAGCGGUGAAAUGCGCAGAUAUCAGGAGGAACACCGGUGGCGAAGGCGGGUCUCUGGGCAACAACUGACGCUGAGGAGCGAAAGCGUGGGGAGCGAACAGG